rnacentral:rRNA from 1 species
UAUGUGAUCGUCUCUCGCAUAUCAAUAAGCGGAGGAAAAGAAACUAACAAGGAUUCCCCUAGUAACGGCGAGUGAAGCGGGAAGAGCUCAAAUUUGAAAUCUUAAAGGGUUUCCCUUUACGAAUUGUAGUUUAAAGAAGUGUUUUCUGUUGAGGUUUUGGUAAAAGUUCUUUGGAAUAGGACAUCAUAGAGGGUGAGAAUCCCGUAUUUGACCUUUACUUUCAACUUUGUGAUACACUUUCAAAGAGUCGGAUUGUUUGGGAAUGCAGUCCAAAAUGGGUGGUAAAUUUCAUCUAAAGCUAAAUAUUGGCGAGAGACCGAUAGCGAACAAGUACCGUGAGGGAAAGAUGAAAAGAACUUUGAAAAGAGAGUUAAACAGUACGUGAAAUUGUCAAAAGGGAAGCGUUUGGACACCAGUGUUGUUUUUCUGAAAAUCAAUUAAAGAACUGUUUAUGCUAAGCUGUUUAGACUUUAUCAGCUAUCUGUUUAGUUUUGAGCUUUUCUUUAAUGCACUUUUCAGUUAACAAGUCAACAUCAAUUUCUUUUGCUGUAAAAAAGCUUGAGGAAGGUGGCUUGAGAUUCGUCUUAAGUGUUUAUAGCCUCUUGCCUAUGCAGUCGGAGAGAUUGAGGUCUGCAGCGUAGAUCCUUCGGGGCUAAAUGCAUUUGUGCUAAGUUAUAGCAUUUUAUAGACAACUUGUUGACUAUGAUUUGUCUUGUAGCUUACUCGCUUAUGUUAUUUUACCUACGCUUAGGAUGUUGAUCUACAGAGCGAGAGU